CAGCAGCCGCGGUAAUACGUAGGGCGCAAGCGUUAUCCGGAAUUAUUGGGCGUAAAGAGCUCGUAGGCGGUUUGUCGCGUCUGCCGUGAAAGUCCGGGGCUUAACUCCGGAUCUGCGGUGGGUACGGGCAGACUAGAGUGCAGUAGGGGAGACUGGAAUUCCUGGUGUAGCGGUGAAAUGCGCAGACAUCAGGAGGAACACCGAUGGCGAAGGCAGGUCUCUGGGCUGUAACUGACGCUGAGGAGCGAAAGCAUGGGGAGCGAACAGGAUUAGAUACCCUGGUAGUCCAUGCCGUAAACGUUGGGCACUAGGUGUGGGGGACAUUCCACGUUUUCCGCGCCGUAGCUAACGCAUUAAGUGCCCCGCCUGGGGAGUACGGCCGCAAGGCUAAAACUCAAAGGAAUUGACGG
rnacentral:rRNA from 1 species